AUUGAACGCUGGCGGCAGGCCUAACACAUGCAAGUCGAACGAGUGGCGGACGGGUGAGUAAUGUCUGGGAAACUGCCCGAUGGAGGGGGAUAACUACUGGAAACGGUAGCUAAUACCGCAUACCAUCGGAUGUGCCCAUAUGGGACUAGCUUGUAGGUUAGGUAACGGCUCCCCUAGGCGACGAUCCCUAGCUGGUCUGCGAGGAUGACCAGCCACACUGGAGCUUAGACACGGUCCAGACUCCUACAGGAGGCAGCAGUGGGGCAUAUUGCGCGAUGGGCGCAAGCCUGAUGCAGCCAUGCCGCGUGUGUGAAGAAGGCCUUCGGGUUGUAAAAUACUUUCAUCGGGGAGGCGUUACCCGCUGAAGAAGCACCGGCUAACUCCGUGCCAGCAGCCGCGGUAAUUC
rnacentral:rRNA from 1 species